rnacentral:misc_RNA from 1 species
AUUUUGCAAAUCACUGCACAAACCAAGGCUUAACCCAACAUUUCACUCAGGAAGAAGACUUUAAAGAGGCCAGAGGUGCAUUCUUUCCUGGCCAAGCAAGUCAGCACUGGUGCCAGAAAGCACGUUCAUCUGACCUGAAUGCUGAGCUGCUGACAGUUGUCAGCGACGGCCGCACCCGGCAUCAUGCUGACCCGUGCCGCCGCUCGCGCUGGACGAGGUCAGAUCCAGCAGUCCCUCAUGUCCUCGGCUGCAUCAGACCUCUCGGAGCGGCAGCAGCUGACCGUUAAACACGACUUGGACAGCUGCGAGCUGCUCAUCGAGAUGCCGGGCUCAGAUGCGAAAGCCUACCUGCAGUACGACCACGGACCGGACGGUGUGGUCGACCUGCAGCAUACGGUCGUCCCGGAAUCCUUCAGGGGGAAAGGUGUCGCCAAAAUCCUUGCCAAGGCUGCAUUCGACUAUGUUGUGGAGCAAGAUUUAAAAAUGAAGCUAUCCUGCUGGUAUCUCCAGAAAUACAUCAAGGACAACCCGUCGUCGGAGCAUGUAGCUCGAGUGGUAGAAUAAGCCAUGUCGGCUAGUAUGAAACGUUGGUACCUACGUCAGGCUGUGUUCAGCGACGUUUGAUCAGCCGUCAGGGGCGUGCAACGGGGAACAGUGAACUGGGAUUUAGUUUCUGUUUAUAAGGGCUUGACGUUACUUAAUCGGCACCCGUCGUGGUGUGUUUGGGAAAUGACUAACCUUUAGGUAUAAGGGCGUGUUUUAUUUGAAUGCGCCCAAAUGUAUAUUUUUUUAUUCAGUUAGUGUACAGCAACACGAAGAGCUGACGUCAAUAUGGAACGAUGUCAGGAACGGCAGAGAAAACGAGGCACAGUUGUGUGCAAGGCGCAGAGAGUGAAGAUGGACCUGUUUCUGAUUUUACACUGGACAAUAUAUCGCUUAUGAAGAA